AGAGUUUGAUCAUGGCUCAGAAUCAACGCUGGCGGCGUGCCUAACACAUGCAAGUCGCACGAGAAAGGGUAGCAAUACCUGAGUACAGUGGCGCACGGGUGAGUAACACGUGAAUUAUCUACCUCCGAGUGGGGAAUAACCUAGAGAAAUCUGGGCUAAUACCGCAUAACACUUACGAGUCAAAGCAGCAAUGCGCUUGGAGAGGAGUUCGCGGCCGAUUAGUUAGUUGGCGGGGUAAUGGCCCACCAAGACGAUGAUCGGUAUCCGGCCUGAGAGGGCGCACGGACACACUGGAACUGAAACACGGUCCAGACUCCUACGGGAGGCAGCAGUGGGGAAUUUUGCGCAAUGGGGGAAACCCUGACGCAGCAACGCCGCGUGGAGGGAUGAAAUCCCUUGGGAUGUAAACUCCUUUCGAUCGGGACGAUUAUGACGGUACCGGAAGAAGAAGCCCCCGGCUAACUUCGUGCCAGCAGCCGCGGUAAUACGAGGGGGGCAAGCGUUGUUCGGAAUUAUUGGGCGUAAAGGGCGCGUAGGCGGUUUGACAAGUCUGAUGUGAAAUCUCUGGGCUCAACCCAGAGUCUGCAUUAGAAACUGUCGGGCUUGAGUAUGGGAGAGGUGAGUGGAAUUUCCGGUGUAGCGGUGAAAUGCGUAGAUAUCGGAAGGAACCCUGUGGCGAAAGCGGCUCACUGGACCAUAACUGACGCUGAGGCGCGAAAGCUAGGGGAGCAAACAGGAUUAGAUACCCUGGUAGUCC
rnacentral:rRNA from 1 species